rnacentral:lncRNA from 1 species
UCGAGAAUGUCUGCAGAAGCAAGUUUAAGGCACAAGCUUAGUAAAAAACUCAAACUUGAUACUGGAAAAUCGUAGAAUUCCAAGGGAAGGAAUAAAUCUUACAAGGGAGGGAAUUUUGGACUGAGGAAUUUAAAGUCAGGAGUACACGGCAGAGAAGACCGCCGUGGUGGUCGAGAAGAGAGUGGUCAUGAAGUUUAUGGGAAGGGAAGGUUUGAACUUUUUAAUUCUGAUGGGAAAAGGAAAAGAGUUUAUGCGGACCAAUAUGGGGAUUGGGAGGCAACAAACAACAGAAAGGUGCAAAAUACUAAAGCUUUAGCUAAGAAAGGGCAUGGUAAGGUGAAAGAUGUUCCUGUUAAAAGCAAAAGUGGUGAAACUAAAACAUGAAUUCGGUUAGCCGGGAAUAUUAGGUAGCGGAGGGUCAGACCCCCGGAGGGAACUUUCAGAAAGAGCGGACGGAGCGGAUUAGCUUUCUUGUCUUCUCUUUGCUCUUUGAACGAGGGCGAGCAACUCUCUAAGUAUCAGCGAGUCAUUCCGCGGUUGACUUUGACCUUCCCUUGAUCUACUUGUUCAGCUGAGAUUGUCACUUCCUAGGAAUCCGGUGAAAUGAAUCAAUCUCGGUAUGUUAUGAAGUUUCCCUCCUCCUUACCUUCCCUCUUCGCUACAUAUGGAUUUCUAAUAGAUUAGAGGCUGCUACUUCAGAAACAAAACGUUAUUCUAGUAAAGCCAAGCAUAAUAGUGCACAAGUAUCUAGCAGUAAAUGGAGUACCAAGGCAAACGAGGCAAAUAAAUUUGAUGAUGACAGAAAUGGUUUGUUGAACAAUGAAACUAAAAACAAAUUUGACUCUAGUAAACGGAGCACCAAAAUGAAGGAAGUAGAUCAAUUGGAUAAUGAGAGAAACGAUUUGUUGAAGAAACAAAACAAAAUCAAUUAUGACUCAAGAAAGUGGUUGGAUCAAAGUCGAAGCAAACACUCUAAUUUAUCUCCUUCAUUUCCUAUCAAGAAAAGUGUUCUAGACAAAAAAAAGAACGCUGACAAUGACUCAGAGACUCUGGAUGACCAGCCAAAGAAGAGAAAGCGGAUUAGAUUAGAUCCAUAAGACACCUCGAAUAAGCGACUUGAUGAUGGGAUAAUUUCUGAUGGUAUGAAUAUUAUUGAGUUACUGUCGUUGUUGCAGUGAUUCUGAACAACAAAAAUAACAAAGGAUAAUGCUUG